GAUGAAGAACGCAGCAAAUGCGAUAAGUAGUGUGAAUUGCAGAAUUCAGUGAAUCAUCGAAUCUUUGAACGCACAUUGCGGCCAUAGGUAUUCCUUUGGCCAUGCCUGUUCGAGCGUCAUUUACACCCUCAAGCCUAGCUUGGUGUUGGGCGCCUGUCCCGCCGUUUUCGCGCGCGGACUCGCCUCAAAGUCAUUGGCGGCGGUCGUGCCGGCCCCCUCGCGCAGCACAUUUGCGCUUCUCGGAGGCCCGGCGGAUCCGCGCUCCAGCAAGACCUUUCACGACUUGACCUCGGAUCAGGUAGGGAUACCCGCUGAACUUAAGCAUAUCAAUAAGCGGAGGA
rnacentral:misc_RNA from 1 species